UGGGGAAUAUUGCGCAAUGGUCGAAAGACUGACGCAGCGACGCCGCGUGGAGGAUGACGCCUUCGGGGUGUAAACUCCUGUUGCUCGGGACGAACCGUGGAAUUCAUUCCACCUGACGGUACCGAGUGAGGAAGCACCGGCUAACUCUGUGCCAGCAGCCGCGGUAAUACAGAGGGUGCGAGCGUUGUCCGGAAUCACUGGGCGUAAAGGGCGCGUAGGCGGCUUGACAAGCGUGCGGUGAAAGCUCGGGGCUCAACCCCGAGUCGGCCGUGCGAACUGUCAGGCUUGAGCACAGUAGAGGCAGAUGGAAUUCCGGGUGUAGCGGUGGAAUGCGUAGAGAUCCGGAAGAACACCGGUGGCGAAGGCGGUCUGCUGGGCUGUGGCUGACGCUGAUGCGCGACAGCGUGGGGAGCAAAACAGGAUUAGAUACCCCCC
rnacentral:rRNA from 1 species